UACGGUGGGGGCUAGCGUUGUUCGGAAUUACUGGGCGUAAAGGGCGUGUAGGCGGCCUGCCAAGUCAGAUGUGAAAGCCCCGGGCUUAACCUGGGAACUGCAUUUGAGACUGGCCGGCUCGAGGUUGGAAGAGGAGAGUGGAAUUCCCAGUGUAGAGGUGAAAUUCGUAGAUAUUGGGAAGAACACCGGUGGCGAAGGCGGCUCUCUGGUCCACACCUGACGCUGAGGUGCGUAAGCGUGGGGAGCAAACAGG
rnacentral:rRNA from 1 species